CAGGCUAAUCCUCCCUCACUUUGCAAAGCCAUUGCGAAAACAUCUUGAUGGACUGGGAUACUAAUAUAUUCCGAGCCAAAUAUGCAACGUCUCAGCUUGACAUCUCCUCCCGUCGCUCCUUCAUAGGUCUUUUUACCUGCUUCCCUUGACUCUGGUCGUGUCAUGCAAACUUGCCUGCGCCCAAACCGCGCAAGAUAUUUAGGUCAUACACUUCGUCUUAUUCCGGGCACCUCGAUCAUCUCGUCAUGGAAGCUUAUCGGUUUUCGUUCACGAAACUUUGGCCCCCCUCCCUCCAUCGACAGCGUGGCGACCUUGUUGGUUCGAAGUUGGAACGUCGCGCGACCAGUUCCCGUACCAUAC
rnacentral:sRNA from 2 species